rnacentral:rRNA from 1 species
AUUGGGACUGAGACACGGCCCAAACUCCUACGGGAGGCAGCAGUAGGGAAUCUUCCACAAUGGACGCAAGUCUGAUGGAGCAACGCCGCGUGAGUGAAGAAGGCUUUCGGGUCGUAAAACUCUGUUGUUGGAGAAGAAUGGUCGGCAGAGUAACUGUUGUCGGCGUGACGGUAUCCAACCAGAAAGCCACGGCUAACUACGUGCCAGCAGCCGCGGUAAUACGUAGGUGGCAAGCGUUAUCCGGAUUUAUUGGGCGUAAAGCGAGCGCAGGCGGUUUUUUAAGUCUGAUGUGAAAGCCCUCGGCUUAACCGAGGAAGCGCAUCGGAAACUGGGAAACUUGAGUGCAGAAGAGGACAGUGGAACUCCAUGUGUAGCGGUGAAAUGCGUAGAUAUAUGGAAGAACACCAGUGGCGAAGGCGGCUGUCUGGUCUGUAACUGACGCUGAGGCUCGAAAGCAUGGGUAGCGAACAGGAUUAGAUACCCUGGUAGUCCAUGCCGUAAACGAUGAAUGCUAGGUGUUGGAGGGUUUCCGCCCUUCAGUGCCGCAGCUAACGCAUUAAGCAUUCCGCCUGGGGAGUACGACCGCAAGGUUGAAACUCAAAGGAAUUGACGGGGGCCCGCACAAGCGGUGGAGCAUGUGGUUUAAUUCGAAGCAACGCGAAGAACCUUACCAGGUCUUGACAUCUUUUGAUCACCUGAGAGAUCAGGUUUCCCCUUCGGGGGCAAAAUGACAGGUGGUGCAUGGUUGUCGUCAGCUCGUGUCGUGARAUGUUGGGUUAAGUCCCGCAACGAGCGCAACCCUUAUGACUAGUUGCCAGCAUUUAGUUGGG